AAGACUAUACUUUCUUGGAUCAUUUCAGAAUUUCUGAUUUGAGAAAUGGGUUUCUAAAGUGUAUGGUCUCACUGCCCAUAAUGAAGAGCUGUUGAUACUCCUUCCUGACCACAAACCAGACAGAAAGACCUGGUUUGUGCCUCGUGCUCUCUGUGCCUGAUGACUGUUCACUGUUUUCUCUGGAGGAAGAUAUGUCAUCUGAGUGGG